AAGGACACAAAAUACAUCCAGAUUCUGGAAACAGGGUGUUCUCCAAGAUCUCAAAAGUGCUUUCAGCCUGAUGUUUCUUUUGGGCUUAACUUGGGGCUUUGCCUUUUUUGCCUGGGGAGCAGCGAGGAUAUUUUUCUUGUAUCUCUUCAGCAUUUUUAACACCUUGCAAGGGUUCUUUAUCUUUGUGUUUCACUGCCUAAUGAAGGAUGAAGUAGUGAAGCAGUGCCGAGUACACUUCUGCUGGGGAAGAUUUCGUCUGAGUAGUUAUUCUGACUGGAGUGGGUCAGGUGCAACUGCUGGAUCUACGCCAAAGCAUUUAAACCACAGAUCACCAUCCCAGGCCUUGUGGAGUCUACAUUCUAAUGGAACAAGUUCAACUUUCAAUGCAGAUUUGCUUCCCACGACUUCUCCAGAUACAAAUUUUAAGAUUGCUGAAGUCCAUUGCAACCCCAGUGUAUCUCCGGAAGAUGAUGAGACCAACCAUCCUUUUUCACAAAGAAUACUAUCCAUGGACACAGGGUUGCACUAUCCACAGAAAGUAGGAUUUUUACACUGAUACUGAAUUUGUUUUCCUCUGCUUAUCUAAUGAUGGUUCCUUUUGAGGCUUGAGAAACAAACAUAGUGCUAAAGAAUUACUUCUAAUGUACAGUUAUCACUGGACACAAUUAUAGAGCUAAAACAUCCCAUGACUCAACUUUAGACUUCAUUAGGAGUAGCAGUACUGACCACAAGAGGAUUUGGUCCCACUGUGUUUCUCAGAUUAGUCCUCAUGUUAAACAGAGAUUGGCAACACUCCUCAUCCUGAGCCCUAUUCAUAGUUCGUCCUCCUAUUUUUUCCCCACUUUCCACUGUCCUGAUAGCCCUCUGUUUCCAUCUUCCUCUGAUACCUAUCUCAGAAUUCAAUACCUGUAACACUGAGUUACAAGUGAUAUUUUUGAGACUGUUGGCUGACUGUCCCAGGCAUGGAUAUCUAGAGUCCUUGAUCAGUAUCUUUCCUUACUUUUCUGGAAUGGACUUUGACCAACUUAUACAUGAAGAAAUUGGACCCAGAUAUUCCUCUCAGUUGUAUGUUAUUUUCAGACAUGCUGUCCUUGGUGACUUGAACUUUGAUUCCUAAAGAGACAUAGAUGCAUGUCUAAAUGUUUGAAAAUGUUGCCCAGUAUUUUCAAAUGGAAUGAGGAAACAAUAAACACUGAAAUUCUCACCUUCAAGGGGUAUCCAUAUGUAUGAUGUAGGUUUCAGAUUACCUCUCCUGAAAAAAACUCCAGAACUAAACCCAAACAGAGAAAUAGCAGAUAAACCCCUACUAUCAUUGGAGCUGGAAAUAAGGAAGUUUUCCCUUUAGUGUUGCUUUACUGUGAAUACCGCAGAAUGUAAACUCCAUUUCAUGACAUCACAAGAGAGACUUAACUU